UGAGGAAUUUUCCGCAAUGGGCGAAAGCCUGACGGAGCAAUGCCGCGUGGAUGAUGAAGGCUUUUGAGUCGUAAAGUUCUUUUCUUAGCGAAGAAAAUAGACGGUAGCUGAGGAAUAAGCAUCGGCUAAUUCCGUGCCAGCAGCCGCGGUAAUACGGAAGAUGCAAGCGUUAUUCGGAAUUAUUGGGCGUAAAGCGUCUGUAGGUGGCUUUUUAAGUCUACUGUUAAAUGUCAAGGCUUAACCUUGAAAAAGCUGUAUGAAACUAAAAGGCUUGAGUUUAGUAGAGGUAAAGGGAAUUCUCGGUGUAGUGGUGAAAUGCGUAGAUAUCGGGAAGAACACCUGUGGCGAAAGCGCUUUACUGGGCUAAAACUGACACUGAGAGACGAAAGCUAGGGGAGCAAAUAGGAUUAGAUACCCCCGUAGUCC
rnacentral:rRNA from 1 species